UACGUAGGGGGCAAGCGUUGUCCGGAUUUAUUGGGCGUAAAGAGCGUGUAGGCGGCUUGACAAGUCCGCUGUGAAAACUCGAGGCUCAACCUCGAGACGUCGGUGGAAACUGUCUCGCUAGAGUCCGGAAGAGGAGAGUGGAAUUCCUGGUGUAGCGGUGAAAUGCGUAGAUAUCUGGAGGAACACCGAUGGCGAAGGCAGGUCUCUGGGCAUUAACUGACGCUGAGGAGCGAAAGCAUGGGGAGCGAACAGG
rnacentral:rRNA from 1 species